CCAUUGAGUUCUUAAUAUGCUUACACUCUUCAUUGCAGCAGUACUAUGAUUGUUUACCUGGUCUUCAUCUCUAGCAACAUGGGCAGUAGCCGUGUCCAUCUGUGAUACUGCAACUUUAUCUGCCAGUUGGGAACAUCCCACAUCAGCCUCUUUGUUUGCUUGAAUGCUGACUAAAUUUUGAUACUCUGUUGAGGUGUCAUCUCUGUUAUUAUCAGUAAAUAAACUGUCAUCAACAGGACUGGAGUGAGGUGCAGCUCCCUUUUGCUGAAUGAGACACAACAAAGUUUAACUCAGAGGCAUGGUUUAUAAUACUGGUUGUGUCUUUAGUUCCCUCCUUUUCUAUGUUCCCAUUUUGAGGUAAACUGCCUACAAGCAAAGGAGACACCAACAUGUUGGUUUGUAGUUUGCCAAAAAUAUAUGCCCCUUUUCCUCUCAAAUUUCCAUUUCCUCCUUUUUGUAAAAACCUAAAUAAGAAAAACCCCAAUGAUGUGGUCCAGAAUUUUUUGUUCAUUCAUGUAUGGAAACCCGAAUGACUAUAAUAACCGCUAGAAACCCUUUACAAUGUGGAAAUUGGCAGCAAAACAUUGGUUUCAAAAUUAUUUUGGUACAUAUAUAUGCCCUUUAUCGUUGGUGAAACUUAUAUAGUAAAUAUAUCCCUUCUUUUCUGCUCCUAAUUCUCUUAUGUCUUUGUUGAUGUAGAUGCCCCACAAAUGAUCUUGCGGAGUGGUGAGGGCUCACAUUGUAAAUUUUGUGACUAAAGUGUUUCUUCUUAAUUAGCCAAUUUAAAUGUUCCAUACUUAUAGGAUAUGACAUUGCUUAUCCCAUAAGCUAGCUCAUAAUUACACAACCUCAAAACCUUGACAAUCUGAAACUCAAAUAUGAUAGUGAUUUGGUGGAGUAUUUUAAUGUUUUGGCUCUUUCUUUUGAUAGCUAG
rnacentral:lncRNA from 1 species